CUAUCUAUACAUAGUGUUCUUUUGAAAUUAAAGUUUGUGGGCAGAGAUUUGACUCUCAUUCAAUAACAUAAGUUGCACAGAAUUGAACAAUGGAAGUAUAUAGUGUUGUUCCCAACAAACCAUUCCCUAUGCGUAAUUUAAAUAGAUUGGUGAAUAAACUUACUAUUAACGAAUUUCUACAACUUUUCAUAAACAUACAUCAUUUGAUGUAUGUUGCUUCACACAUAAAGUGCAACGAAAACCGGUUUCGUAUGAAAACAAAAACAAAGUCGCUGCGACUGAAUUUAAGUACCGUUAUGUGUCCAAGUGAAUUUUUUUUGUUUAUGUUUUCAGUUGUCUUGUUAAUUUUGAUUGUUCAGUUGAAAUAAGUGAAAAUUUAGAAGCAAGAAAGUGAAAAAAUACCAUUUUUAAAAGUAAAAUAAAAUAUAAAAUGCAUUACAAAAUUAAACACAGUGUUCGUAAGGAAACAAAAGAAAUUGUUGACUUACUCUGAAAUGCAAAAAACAUAAGUGCGGUUCUAGUGAAGUUACUUGUAAUAAAAAAGAUUCCAUUGUAGCCACAUGUAGUGCAGUGGACUCUAAUUUAAGGGAUGAUCUUGCAGCCACUUGUAGUGCAGCGGAUUCUAAUUUAAGCGACGACAAUAAAUCUGAAGAUGAAAUAAAUCUGUGCUUUACGCAAUAAAACAAUGAAUUUGGAUUUCUUCCAGUUAUACACUGUGACUGAAGUGAAUAACAUAAACUUUAACAAUAUCUUUCUAAGCUCGGAACUCGUGCACAAUACUUCAGAAUGUCAAAAUGUUAUACAACCAAAUCCUGUGGCAUUAAAAGCGAUAACGGAAGCCCUUGCUCAGACUAUUGAACCCAUGUUUUUGAGGCUAACGACUGAGGUAACUUCAAUGCGGGAAGAAAUAAAAUCCCUACGGAAUGAAGUGAAAGGUUUGAAGAAAGAAACAUUAUUGAAGUUCGUGAUGCCUGAUAACGCGUUUAAAGACUUGGAUGAUUUUUUAAAGUUCGAAAAGCAGUUAGAGGAUGAUAAAAACUUUUUUCUUUCGUUUGGAACAGAACUGUUAUCUGUAGCAAAGGCACCGAAUUUCACCAAAAACUGCUGGCGAAAAAUUUUGACAGAUCAAGUUGCGGAAAAGUUGUGUUAGAAAGGGACGGAAGAUAAAAAGAGUGUGCGCAGUCUGAGUGUAGCAAAAGCCAUAAGAAAUGCUACUGUCUCCGUUGGAUUAAAUGCAGAGGAUUUUGUGAAAAGCACAAAAUAAUUUUUGCGAUUUGCCAAAAAUAGGCUUGAGUCCAAAAAAAAAAAAAAAAUAUAAUGCUUAAUCGAAAAAAUAGAAACAAAAAACUUUCUUUACAAGCCCAAUUUUUUUUUUAUUAAUUUAUAUAUGUAGAAAACAAUUGAAGUUUCUUUUAUGUUUGUAGUAAUGAUCUCUUUAAUUUAAUCUAAUCAUCUAAUUAAACAUCUAAUUAAUUCAACUAUACCAAAUAAAAAAAAUUAUAAAUUUACAAAUAAAGAUGGAAUGUGUGUCAACUAA